AGACACCAUCGUCCUAUUUUUUCACCCUGCUUGCAUUCCCAUUAACUCCUCUUCAGCAAAACAAAAAACUCAAGCCUUACUGGUUCUCCCUACCUCCUGAUAGCUACCUACCUAGACUGCUUGGCAGACACAGUUCUGUAGGCUACUUUCUUAUCAAGAGUUGGCAAUUAGAAGAGGCCCUUGGAGAGGAGGUGGGAGUGCUCCUUAAAGUCCUCAUCGGAAUGGAAUUGCUGACCGGGUUCAUUAGGCUAUGGAUUUGCAGCAAGACUUGGAUUCUAUUGCAAUCCUCCUCGCCCUCUGACUAAUAUGAAUGACACCAUGGUUAGCCACAUGUCCUCUGGAGUGCCCACUCCCACCAAGAGUGUUCUGGACAGUCCUAGCCGACUGGAUGAGGAACACCGUCUUAUAGCUCGCUAUGCUGCCCGGCUGGCUGCAGAAGCAGGAAACGUGACUCGUCCUCCCACUGACUUGAGCUUUAACUUUGAUGCCAACAAACAACAAAGACAGCUUAUUGCAGAACUGGAAAACAAAAACAG
rnacentral:lncRNA from 1 species